CACGUAGGGCGCAAGCGUUGUCCGGAAUUAUUGGGCGUAAAGAGCUCGUAGGCGGUCCGUCACGUCCGCUGUGAAAACCCAGGGCUCAACCCUGGCUUGCAGUGGAUACGGGCAGACUAGAGGUAGGUAGGGGAGAAUGGAAUUCCCGGUGUAGCGGUGAAAUGCGCAGAUAUCGGGAGGAACACCGGUGGCGAAGGCGGCGACCUGGACGAAUACUGACACUCAACUGCGAAAGCGUGGGGAGCAAACAGG
rnacentral:rRNA from 1 species